rnacentral:rRNA from 1 species
CAGCCGUAAACAAUGUGCGUUAGGUGUGUCGGUAACCACGCGUUACUGAUGCGCCGAAGAGAAAUCGUGAAACGCACCACCUGGGAAGUACGGUCGCAAGGCUGAAACUUAAAGGAAUUGGCGGGGGAGCACCACAACAGGUGGAGCCUGCGGUUUAAUUGGAUUCAACGCCGGACAUCUCACCGGAUAGGACAGCAGAAUGAUUGCCGGGCUGAAGACCCUGCAUGACUAGCUGAGAGGUGGUGCAUGGCGUAGACGUCU